rnacentral:rRNA from 1 species
UACAGAGGUCUCAAGCGUUGUUCGGAUUCAUUGGGCGUAAAGGGUUCGUAGGUGGCCUACUAAGUCAGACGUGAAAUCCCUCAGCUCAACUGGGGAACUGCGUCUGAGACUGGAAGGCUUGAGUGCAGGAGAGGAACGCGGAAUUCCAGGUGUAGCGGUGAAAUGCGUAGAUAUCUGGAGGAACACCGGUGGCGAAGGCGGCGUUCUGGACUGUUACUGACACUGAGGAACGAAAGCCAGGGGAGCAAACGGG